rnacentral:rRNA from 1 species
GGCGAACUGGUGAGUAACACGUGGGAAACCUGCCCAGAAGCGGGGGAUAACACCUGGAAACAGAUGCUAAUACCGCAUAACAACUUGGACCGCAUGGUCCGAGUUUGAAAGAUGGCUUCGGCUAUCACUUUUGGAUGGUCCCGCGGCGUAUUAGCUAGAUGGUGGGGUAACGGCUCACCAUGGCAAUGAUACGUAGCCGACCUGAGAGGGUAAUCGGCCACAUUGGGACUGAGACACGGCCCAAACUCCUACGGGAGGCAGCAGUAGGGAAUCUUCCACAAUGGACGAAAGUCUGAUGGAGCAACGCCGCGUGAGUGAAGAAGGGUUUCGGCUCGUAAAACUCUGUUGUUAAAGAAGAACAUAUCUGAGAGUAACUGUUCAGGUAUUGACGGUAUUUAACCAGAAAGCCACGGCUAACUACGUGCCAGCAGCCGCGGUAAUACGUAGGUGGCAAGCGUUGUCCGGAUUUAUUGGGCGUAAAGCGAGCGCAGGCGGUUUUUUAAGUCUGAUG